rnacentral:lncRNA from 1 species
CGCAUCACACCUCAAGAACAACUUUUUUUUUUUUUUUCAGCUAAAUCCUGUUUAUAUUAUCCACCAUACUCAGAGACACAAGUUAAAGAUGUUACUGAAGAAAUUCAGUUACAUUUUUGUGAAAGGAGAAUUUUGAGGAAACUAUGAAUGAGACAAAGCUGAUAUUUCAGAAUUGGAUGUUGCCUGGGUAAAUCAUUCAAGAAGUUCAUGAGAUUUCCAAAGCAUAAGCAGAUGGAACCAGACCGGACCAGAUGGAAAAACAGGACUGGGAAAAUACUGCUUCCUUGACGCAUGCUGAUGUCAGGAAGAUACUUACCUUAGGAUAUGCUGUGCCAUAAUCACAAAAUAGAGGGAAACACACACAGAUUCAACAUCAAAAGAUACAUGAAGCUACUAUGUAGUAACUGAUUCUGCUGCAAAAAUAGCUGUUGAAAUGAAAUGAAGAACAGUGGUUGGAAAGCCUUUCUCUUGGUCAU